CCAAGUGGCCUUCUUCUCCCAACCCGAAGGUGCCAGGGCUGAGGGGCUUCCCUCGUGGACACGGCUGGGCGGUCCUCCCUGGCUGCUCUCCCGGGACAUCCUUCCUCCACUGCAGACACCAGCCCAGCCUCAGCAGGGGUGCCAAGGGGAGCCUGAUACUCACAGCCACGGUUACGGUCCCGCAGGAGGUAAAACCACGCGAAGGGACGUGACGGGUCCUGUUCAAGGCCCACCCUCCUAGCACCGUUCUGAACACC